rnacentral:tRNA from 1 species
GUGAGCAUAGCUCAGUUGGUAGAACAAUGCAUUAUUAUAUGCAGGGGUCGGAGUUCGAAUCCCGAACAUCCUAUA